GGGGGAAAUCAGCCCACUUCGGAGAACGGAGAACCAUAAAUAAAUGUACUGAUUAAUAAAUAAAGUGGCUCUGAGCACCAGACAAUAACUUAGGGGGGAGGGGGGACCCCCCCAGACCAGCUGGGGGGAGGGGUCAGCGGGGACCCCCCCAAUGCCUCCAAGCAUGGGGGGGGGUUCCAUAGUCUUUGACUGGGGAGGGGGGGGGGGGGGUUCCGUGAUGUCCCCGACGUCCCCAAAAUGGGAACCUGUGAUGUCCCCAAUAUCCAACACAGGGGCGGUCUGCGAGGUUCCUCAGUGUCCCCAAAUCUCUGAGCCAUGGGGGGGCUCCAGCACCAAAUCGUGAGCGUGGGGGGGGGGGGGGGGGGGGGGGGGGGGGGCUGCAAUGUCCCCCUCGACGUCCCCAAAUCUCUGGGCGUAGAGGUCACCGAUGUCCCCACACCUUCAGGUCUUCGGCCAUAGAGGUCAACAGCGUCCCCCGAUCCCAAAUCUUUGGGCAUUGGGAUUGCGGGAUUCCGAUUUCCAGGCAUGGAGGUCAACGACGUCCCCCACAUCUCCACACGUUGGGGGUCUCGGGACCCCCAUCUCCAAACACGGAGGUCAGCGACGUCCCCGGACGUCCCCAAAUCUUGGGACAUGGGGGGUGUUGGGACCCGGAUCUCCGCGCAUAAAGGGCAGCAGCGCCCCCCAAUGUCCCCAAAUCUUUGCGCUUUGGAUCCAUAUAUCUCCAGCCAUUGAGGUCAGCAGCAUCCCUUGACGUCUCCAAACCUCCAACCAGGGGGGGGUACAUCUCCAAACCCCCAACCAUGGGGGGGGGGGACGUCUCCAAACCUCCAACUGUGGGGAGGGGGUACAUCUCCAAACCUCCAACCAGGGGGGGGUACCUCUCCAAACCCCCAACCAGGGGGGCGCCCACCCCAAUCCCUUCUGGUCCCCCCCCCGCCCCGUUUUGCACUCCACCUCCACGACUUCGGGGGACCCCCCCCACGCGUCACCCCCCGCCGGCGAUGCGCAGCAGCCCCACGAAGUUCCCCUCCCUCUCGUCCUGCGCCAUCUGCCACUCGUCCCCUUGGACGUCCCCAACCAUCCUAAAGCUGAGGACGUCCCCCGGCCUCAGCUGCCCCACUGCUUGAGCCAAACCGGAGCGAGUGGGGCCGGAUCCGCUGCCGUCGGGUAACGCCAACGGUACGGCCAACAGGGGAUGAGAAGAGCCGGCGCGGUGCAGUUGGAGGGUGACAUUGCCGGGGGGACAGGAGGUGGCCGUGCAGGUGACGGCAAAUUGGCCAUAGAGGAGGUAGAGACCCCCGGAUGCCACCCGCAGUCCUUCGGGUGUCGCCUGAACGUCGCCGCUGAGGAAGACUCCGCUGAUGCCUUCUUCGUAGCGCCAGUUGGGUCCCGAUGGCACCGCCAGGGAAGCUGGGGGGGGAGAUGGGGGAGAUGGGGGGUUAAUGGGGUCGCGGCGGCACCAGCAGUGAGAAUGGGGGGCAGGGAUGUGGGGCUAAUGGGGUCGCGAUAGCACCACCAGGGAAGCUGCGGGUGGAGGUGUGGGGUUAAUGGGGUCACAGCGGCACCAGCAGUGUGAAUGGGGGCAGGGGUAUGGGGUAAUGGGGUCGCGAUGGCACCGCCAGGGAAGCUGAGGGUGGAGGUGUGGGGUUAAUGGGGUCGCGGUGGCACCAGCAGUGAGAAUGGGGGACAGGGGUAUGGGGUAAUGGGGUCGCGGUGGCACUGCCAGUGAAUGUAGGGGGCAGCGAUAUGGGGUUAAUGGGGUCGCGAUGGCACCACCAGGGAAGCUGGGGGGGGAGAUGGGGGGUUAAUGGGGUCACAGCGGCACCAGCAGUGAGAAUGGGGGCAGGGGUAUGGGGUAAUGGGGUCCCGAUGGCACCGCCAGGGAAGCUGAGGGGGGAGAUGUGGGGUUAAUGGGGUCGCGGUGGCACCAGCAGUGAGAAUGGGGGGCAGGGAUGUGGGGUUAACGGGGUCGCGAUGGCACUGCCAGUGAAUGUAGGGGGCAGCGAUAUGGGGUUAAUGGGGUCGUGAUGGUACCGCCAGGGAAGCUGCGGGUGGAGGUGUGGGGUUAAUGGGGUCACGGUGGCACCAGCAGUGAGAAUGGGGGGCAGGGGUAUGGGGCUAAUGGGGUCACGAUGGCACUGCCAGGGACCACAGGGAUGGAGGACACCCUAUAUCACCAUGGGGACCACAGGGACGGAGGACACCUCAUGUCCCCAUGGGGACUACGGGGAUGGAGGACACCCCAUAUCACCAUAGGGAUGGAGGGCACCCCACAUCCCCA
ensembl:lncRNA